UGGAAAUGGACCAAAGAAACUGCCAACAGCUCUUUCUGUGUCUAAUACCCAUCACACAAUGCAACAUUGUUUGUCAAGCUGUUGGGUUCUUUAUCUGGGUGGGCCUUGGAAGUUAAAUAUAUCAUAUAUUUCAGGGACACAUGUUGAUGGUGGAGGUAACUGAUCUACCUGAGUAUUCAGAUCUAUCUGCCAACACUGAGAAGAAAACCGAGGAGGGCUGCAACGUGGCUGUCAUGUGUUCCAGGUUCUGGGAUGUGCUCCAUGUGUCUUCUCCUUCUGGAUCUCAGGCUAAAGAAGCAGCCCCACUCUGGGCCAUCCCUGUCCUCACAGCAGAGGGGAAGAGUGAGCAGCUGAACCAAAACCACACCGUCACAUUUAAAGCAUUAGCUUGGACAGAUGGAACAUCUGCUCAUAUUCCAUUGCUCAGCACAAGUCACUCGGCCAAGCCCAACAUUGCUAUGGCAGGGAUGUGUACCCCACCCAGGGCAGAAGGGGAGAGUUAUCUACCAUAAUCUCCAGCAACAUUUGGUGUAUCCAUCCUUUCUAACUUUUCAAGAGGCAAGGACAUGUGCAUAUACACACAAAAUAUACUUUCUAAAAAUGGGAUGAUUCGUGCUAUAAAAUUACUUGCCUAAAUGCUUUUUUUUGAUGGACAGUUUUAUAAGUCAAUAUGUAUUCUUACAUCUGCAUUUUGAUUGGAUACAUAAUAUUCCACUUUAUAGAUAUGCAUGGACAUCCUUGUGCAUAUAUCUUUGAACACAUAAUUAAGAUCCAUUACUACAAGUAGAAUUACUGGGGCAUUCAGAUCUCACAUUUUCAAGGCUUCUGGUGAAUAUUACAAUUUACACUCCUAAAAAUGACAAUCCUCACUUAAAAUAAAAAUGUAUUGACUUUUCA
rnacentral:lncRNA from 1 species